AAAUCCACACGAGCUGGUUUAUAAUUUUCAAACAAUAAAAACAUUGCAGACGUAUACAUUAGCUGAUCAACUUACAGUGUAAAAUUCGUCGCUUGAUUCAGAUUCGCUCGUUCCUGUUUCGUGUCCUCAUUCUGGCAACCCAUGAGCUUCGAGUCUGGGGCGGGGCAGACAACUCUCCAAUAUUGCAGUACCCAUUUCAAACGCUUGUUGUCAAUCUUACAAAUAGCACCUUUAACCUAAACUGACUGGUGUCUAUUUGUUAAUAAUCUCUGCUGAUAUCCGACGUAUAUGCUGAAGAACAAGCCACAUCCUGUGACGACCAGAGAGAGCAUUUAGCUUCCGUUUAUGGAGGAAUUGAAAUGUGAUGAAGAGACCGUUAUCAUUGGACACAGUUCAUGGGCCUCUGCAGGGCAUUACGAAUGAUUCCUCUGAUGACAUUCCCAACCUAAACUGAAGUGAUGUGUUAAAGUGACGUUGGUAUUCUGUGCUGCUGUUCAGGAUGUUUCAGUCGGCCAUGGGAGUGGGAAAAGAUCCGAGCAAACGUGAGGCACAUCCUUCAGUUUGGAUCCACAGACGACCCUUUCUUGCCUUGGGAAGAGCAGCAGGAAGUGACUGCUGUACUGAAGACAGAUUUACGAAAAUUCGCAGACCAAGGAUACUUCCAGAAAACAACCUUCCCAGAACUCAUCAAAACAAUAAAUAUACUCAAAACUGACAGUUAAAUACAAAUCACUGGAAUGAGGCCACACUGAAACGCCAUCUCGAACAUCCUCUUUUUGGGGCCAAAAUGAUUGUGAUUCCAACAUUUGAAACAAUGAAACAUACAAUGUCAUUCCAGUGGCAGAUGUUGGUUAUGAAAGACCAUCAUGUUUCAGAAUGUGACAGAUGUAAAUGUAGCAAGACGUUCAGGAAGGUCCAUUUUCCAUCUUUUAUUUUAAAUACACAAAAAUACAUCAUGUAAACCCUCAAAACACAAGUUGUCUAUACAGUAGUAUGUAGAAAUCCAAACGUCUUAAAUAUAAUGCCCGUGUAAACUGGGACACAACAAAAUGUUCAUAAAAUCAGUGCAAAAUGGCACUCACAGCUGUCAAAACAUACACAACAUAUACCUCAUAUACUUUAAACUGCUAGCACAUCUGUGCAAACUUACAUUUGACUUGGUUCAAUUAAUUUUUUUAUAAUUAUUUAUAAUUGUAACUAUAAUUUAGUUAUAGUAAUGAUUUCCACUUGUGAGGUUGUGUGUCUUGUAUGCAGAGAUAAAGUACAUUUGUUAUUAGUUAUAACACCAUUUGUUAAAGGUCAGCAUAAACAUUUGAUUUUAUUGAAAUAUAUACUUCUCAUUUGGCGAAGGAGCAAUAACUCUAAUAGUGGAUAACAUUUAAAUGACUGAAAAAAGCAUACAUUUUUACUCAAUCCAGUAACUGACUUAAUUAUAUUUAACAAUAUUCUCAAAAGGAACAAUUCUGUCAUUAUUUAUUCAUCCUCACAUCGUUCCAAACAUUUCUUCUGUGGAACACAAAAGUUAUUAAGCAAAAUAUUUAUGCUGCUUCUUUCCAUUCAGUGACCAGGGUCUGUCAAGCUCCAAAAAGGACAAAGAAACACCAUUCAAGCACCACAAAAGUAGUCCACAAACAUUAUGCGAUAUAUUCCAAGUCUUCGGAAGCUUUGUGUGAUGAACAAACCCAAUUUUUUGCUGUUAUUCACCGAAAAUCUUCCCAUCUGUGCAGCUCUAAUAUCUCAUUCUCAUGUGUAUAUUCAUAAUUUUACAAGAUAUGUGCAAACCACUGGUUUUUGCCAUCAAUGAUGUCAAACCAAAACACGUGAAAUUUAAGAGCUGCAGCGGAGGGGAAGAUUAUCAGUAAGUAAUGGCUCAAAUUUGGGUUUGUUCCUCAAAGGAAGCUAUCAAAUGACUCCAAAACAAUACUAUUUCUGGAGCUCGACAUCCCCAAUCGCCAUUAUGGAAAAAGGAUUCUGGACAUUCUGCUAAACAAAAACAAAAAAAACUUUAGUCUGUUGAUCUCAUCAAUGUGGUGUUUAACUGCUGCCAUGAGAAUCACAUAUUGCUUAUUUUAAAACCUGAGAGUUGAGUUAAAGUGCACCUAGCAAAACUAAACCAUCAUUGUAAACCUGACAAACUGCUCACAGAUAAACCUCUUCUUUGGUCCACUGAAGAGGUCUUGCUCUACUACAAGCUAUAUCUUUUUUAGAAUAGCAGCUAAACUUAACCUAUGUGGUUGUAACAUAUUUAGAUCUGUAACGGCCUACUGAAAACAUUUAACCAGAGCUGUUAUGAAUUCUUUGUCCAAAGUGAACAUAUAAUGGCUGUGUGAGUGACUGUGUGGCAUACUGGGCUUUAGG